AAAAAGUUCGUUAGGGUUUUUC
rnacentral:miRNA from 1 species